CUAUAGAGAGAUCGGUGGUGAAGGCCCGGCCCUGAUUCCAUCUGGUGAUGCUCGGCCAAGGCAGGUGUGAAAUCGGGCUGACGGGGGUCUGCAGGCUUGGCCCGAACGGUGGCACAGGGUGGACCACGACGGGGCCCAGAAGGGACAGCUGGAGAGGAAGAGGUGACAGGAACCGGUUGAGGUUAGAGAGAGGUGGAGAAAGAGAAAGAGAAAGCGGCAGGGAGCCGAAGAGAGACUGAAAAGUACAAGGAAGCUCUAGAGAGUCGAAGAUCGUCAGAUAGAAAGUUGGAGAGGAAGUUCUAGAGAGUUGAAGAGAGUCAGGUAGAAAGAGAGCCGGACAGUUGUCAAGAGCCGAAAGUUGUGGAGAGCCCAAGAGGAAGUUGUUCGGAGCGGCAGCACGUCAGACAGAAAGGCGCAGAGAUCUAGACAGAAAGUUGUAGAGAGCUAACGCAACAAAAAGCCACCACAGAAACCAUGAGAACCAAAGGAAAACAGACGACAACAGACAACAGAUGAGAGCAGAACACAAGGCAGAAGAAAAACGGGCACACACCACAAUCUCAAACCAGCAAACACACCACAGAUUACAGGAAAACAGCCCACAUGGAAACAAUACACAGCUCAAUACCCGAAAAGGGAAGUCGAGGGACAUCGACAACUUGGUGGGCUGGGAAUGCAGACACGGUGGAAUGGAGGUUGUGUAGACACCAUCCGAUGGUCCAGGGACAUCUACAUCGAGCACCUCACCGGCC